GUAAACCCCGUUAUAUUUUACCUUAGUAUGAGAGGUGCGGAGGGGGUCUCCUAAGGUAAGUUUAGAGUUCACUUCACGCCGAACCACCACGUGAGGAUGAAACUCAGCCAACGCCAAGGAAUGGCUAUAUUUUAAAAGUAAAAACAUGUUUUAUGGGUAUAUGUCGUUUUAACAUCCUUGGCGGACUCGGUUGGAUGCUCGGGCCAAGGUGUCCCCGAGUAUGAGUUUUGGCACAAGCCAAGUUUUUAAGAGAAUCAUAAGC
rnacentral:lncRNA from 1 species